CCUACGGGAGGCAGCAGUGGGGAAUAUUGCGCAAUGGGCGAAAGCCUGACGCAGCGACGCCGCGUGAGGGAUGAAGGUCUUCUGAUCGUAAACCUCUGUCAGCAGGGAAGAACGGUCACUGUGCUAAUCAGCAGUGAAUUGACGGUACCUUCAAAGGAAGCACCGGCUAACUCCGUGCCAGCAGCCGCGGUAAUACGGAGGGUGCGAGCGUUAAUCGGAAUUACUGGGCGUAAAGCGCUCGUAGGCGGUAUGUCAAGUCAAGGGUGAAAUCCCCGCGCUCAACGUGGGAACUGCCUUUGAAACUGGCAAACUGGAGUGUGUGAGAGGAUAGUGGAAUUCCAGGUGUAGGAGUGAAAUGCGUAGAUAUCUGGAGGAACAUCAGUGGCGAAGGCGACUAUCUGGCACAUAACUGACGCUGAGGAGCGAAAGCGUGGGUAGCAAACAGGAUUAGAUACCCGAGUAGUC
rnacentral:rRNA from 1 species